UUGGAUUCUCAGCUAUCCCUCGUGCACUGUCUUCAGUUAAUGUUCUCUCUUGUGAGCUUGUGUCAUAUGAUUCAAUAUCUAGGUUUCCUUUGUAUAUCUCAAAAGACAUUGAUGAAUUGCUUAAAUAGGAUUUGAUCAGAAGCAGUAGAUGUUACAAAGAUUGAGAUUGUUAUUCAUGUUAUGUAUUAUGGAUGCUGAUUUCGAGCAAUAAUCUGUUGUAGCUGAUGAUUCAGAAGAGGGUUGACUAUAUUCUACUUUUGAUUUUUGAUAUGUUGUAAUACAUUUGUAUUACUGAGGCCAA
rnacentral:lncRNA from 1 species